rnacentral:rRNA from 1 species
AUGAUGGGCGGGCCGAGCGCGAGCGGCGGCAGCAGGCGGCGGAGGUGGGCGCAGCGGUCGUGCCGGGCGGGAGGGGCGGGCGGGGUCGUCACGCGGAUGGUGGCGGCGCCGGAGGAGCGCGGCGCGAGCGCGGCUCCCCGGCGGAGCGCUACAGGGUUUGCUCAUGUGGACAAGCAGCAGCGUGUCUAUGGACCAUUAUCAUCAGAGGGUUCCAGAAGUAGCAGUGGAUCCACAAUAAUAAAAGAUUUUCUUCAUUCGGAUUUAUGUGAAUACAAGCGUAAGAGGUCCUUGAGAAAUGAAAUAGGAAGCCACCAUUCUCUAUCUUCUGUGAUGUUAGAAUCAAGGAAUCAUGGUGCAGCAACUCAAAUGCCAAUAGCUUCUGAAAAACCUUCCUUUUCGUGGCCAACAGAGAAGCAAGUCUCCAGUAACAACAACUUUCUUCCUGUGACCAGUACUGUCUCGGAUUAUGGGUUGUCCUAUCGGCCUAAAUGUCAUCUUGGCAGAGGCAGUAACAAGGCAAAUCAGACUGGAACACCAAAAGAAUCCAGUGGCAUGUGCAGUUUCAGUUAUCAAUUAGCUAGAAGUGCUGGAAGAUCUGAUUCUAUGAAGAUGGGCCGAGCAAGUGCAAAGUGCUCCCUUGCAGACACAAUGUCGAUGUUACGCCAACGGCGCUUUGGUCGCAGUUACCAGAAUCAAAACCGCAUUGGUGCAUUAAAUCGAAGGCAUAAGAACACACAAUCUGGUGGAGCAAUCAACAUGGUAAAAAAAGAGGAAACUUAUAAUGAGUCUGAUUUGUCAACAGGAAGACACUGGCAAACUUUGUUGGAUAAUGCAUUAGUUCGAAGGAGAUUACAGCCACUCAAUGAGGAAUCAUCUGAACAACUAUGGAGCUGUACAAACAGUGAAUCUGACAAGGCGAUAAGCUUUUCGUCAGUGGCAAAUGAUCAAUGGAGGAUGUCCUUCAAGAAGGUACACUGUCCACUUGCUGCACGUAUAAACUAUAUCCCCCAAGCUUCCUGCAAAGAGAUUGAGCAGGCAAGCCCAGUAUCCGUUCUUGAAUAUCCAGCUGAAGAUUUUUCCGAUACUGAAAACAUUAAGAAAGAUACAAAAGAUCCUCAUGCUCCCCAGCCAAGGCCUGAGCUCGUAUACUUUCCUUCAGCAGAAACUGUUGCUGAGGUAGUUGUGGAUGCUGCACUUGGUAAUUACUCGUGCUCUGAGAUGGAGUCUACUGAACAUGAUGAAACUAUACAGCUGGUAGAAGACACCCCUUGCGAAUUUGAAGACGAAGAGGAAAGAGAGUUCUGCUACUUGCUGGACAUUCUAAUUGCUUCUGGUAUUCAUGGCGUUGAGGAGGAUCAGCUGUACAAGGUGUGCCAGUCCCUUGAUUGCCCUGCAGGCUACGACGUGUUUGACAAGCUUGAGAAGAAAUACAAAAAAGUGGCUCAAUGGUCGAGGGCAGACAGGAAGCUCACCUUCGACAUGGUAAACUCCAUACUGUCGGAAAUUCUUGCCCCAUGUUUGGACAUGCACCCUUGGGCAACUACUGCAAGGAAUAUGGCGCCAGCGUGGGGCUCAGAGGGCCUGUUGGAGAAAUUGUUGCAGGUGUUGACUCGGCGGCGAGAAGAACUUGCGCCAAGAGUGCAUAAGAAGGAGAAACAAGUGUUAAAUCAGAAAUGGCCAGACUUGGCAGAUUACAUCGACAGGGCAGGUAGGGAUGUUGAGAGGAUGAUAAAGGAUGAUCUUCUGGAAGAGCUGGUUCUGGAGUUGAUGUCCAGCUAG